rnacentral:rRNA from 1 species
AUUGAACGCUGGCGGCAGGCCUAACACAUGCAAGUCGAACGAGUGGCGGACGGGUGAGUAAUGUCUGGGAAACUGCCCGAGGAAGGGGGGUAACUACUGGAAACGGUAGCUAAUACCGCAUACUCUCGGAUGUGCCCAGAUGGGAUUAGCUAGUAGGUGGGGUAACGGCUCACCUAGGCGACGAUCCCUCGCUGGUCUGGGAGGAUGACCAGCCACACUGGAACUGAGACACGGUCCAGACUCCUACGGUAGGCAGCAGUGGGGAAUAUUGCACAAUGGGCGCAAGCCUGAUGCAGCCAUGCCGCGUGUAUGAAGAAGGCCGUCGGGUUGUAAAGUACUUUCAGCGGGGAGGCGUUACUCGCAGAAGAAGCACCGGCUAACUCCGUGCCAGCAGCCGCGGUAAUUC